CGCAGCGAACCUAGAACGCGAGGUGGAGGGGGAGCAAAAGAAAAUUGAAGCGGGAUAUAUGAGCCGUCUAAUGGUGCAAGACACGGGAUUCAGAGUGGGCGCGGGACUUAUGGGAUUCAGAGUGAGCGCGGGACUUAUGGGAUUCAGGGUGGAUGUGUGACUCAUUAGAUAUUUUUUUUAAGUAGUAGAGAAGAGAAGUGGCUUCCGUUCGACUCUAGCUCCCUCUUAUGCGCCCUUUUGCUAACAUCAGCUAACUGAGCCACCUUAGGACCUGUUUGUUUUAGCUGGGAAUUUUGAAAAGCAGCUUAUAGAUUGUGGAUUAUAAAAAACUGGAGUAAAAAGCUGCAUUGUGAAAAACUUUUAAAUUGUAGAUUCAAAAAACUUUAAUGGGUAAUUUAGUAAAAUAAACUUUCACAAUCUAUCAAAAGUUGAGAAAAAUUAGCUUUUCAGAUUCACACAAUCUAACAAGCGAAUUAUAAAAAAACUAUAACAAAAAACUGUAUGUUCGGAUUGUAAAAGCUAAAAGUCAGAAUCAAAGUCGAAACAAACAGUCUUACUUGUUGCAACCCGGUCUGCAUCUUAUGUCCUGUAGCCCAAUCUAUGACAUCUUGGUCCAAUUCAAGCACAGCUCCCGCACCCCAAAUCGCGCUCACUCAAUUGGCUUCAUUUCCGCUCCAAUUCACCUCGAAGGUUCUCGAAGCGUCGGAAGGUUGCGAGGUGACACCACCAAAUUUCCUUCUACGCUCUAAUCGGUGAGUGGCGUAUGCUCUAGGGCUUGUUCAACGCAUUUUUCGUUGGUUCGUUGCACUAAAGCUAGGGCUAUGGCCACAGCCCUACUGCUUUCGGCGAAAUCUAGGGUUCCGUAGAAAUGCAGAAGCUCUCGGGGCUUAGGGGCCUCGUGGGGUUCCGAUCUCUCGUUGGGUCGACCUCGACGGCCGUAAAGGCCACGAACCCCAGGCCCUCCUCGGAUGCUGGGGGUAUUACGUAUGGGAGCCUCGCCAAUCUUUUGAACACAGAAGAGAAAUUGGUCAAGGAGCAGGCUUCAGUGAAGACUGAUCUAGAAAUGGCGCAUACCAAACUGAGAAGAGCAACAGAACACAUAAACCUUUUAGAAGGCCUUCAACAAGCUGUGAAUGAAAGUGCAAAGCUUAAGCAGACUGAAGAUUCAAAGCUCUUGCAGGGUUUAGAUUCGAAGAUCUCAACAAAGACCUUGUGCGAUCAACUGACUGAAACUCUGCAGCAGCUAGCUAGUCAGACAGAACAAGCUGAGGAAGAUAAGAAGUUUUUUGAGGAGAUACUUGGGAAGAAUUCCACAGCUUUAGAUGAAUUCAACUGCCUGUUGCAUGAUUUAUCAACAAAACUGGAGUGUGCCGAACAAAUGAUCAUUUCAGGGAAGCAGGAGAAAGAAGAAAUGGAUCGGAGUUACAAGGAACGGCCAUGUGCAAAUGAUACUACCAUAAAGGAAAAAGGUAUAAGUUAGAUUUUCUGUACCAAAUGAUGAAUCGGAAAUGGUAAUGGUCGUGUGCUUAAAUUGUAUCACAAGUAUACAGAAACUAAGUAGCUGGGUAUGGGCAAGUUGUUAGAAAAGAACUGCAGCGCAUUCAGUCUCAGGCUGAGAAUGAAUUGAGCGAGAGGCUGUCAUUGCUUAGAAAAGAGCAUGAACUUCAAAUAAAAUCACUAAGGAUGCAGCAUGAAGAACAAUGCCAGAGGCUGCAGGAGGAUCUGGAGCUUCAGAAGUCAAAGGUAGUUACUAGUUACUUUAAAAUAUUCUUUAACGUUGUUUGGUACAGGAGGAGAAGCAAAGUGCAUUAUUACUGUUA